rnacentral:tRNA from 1 species
UCUAAUGUGGCAGAUUAGUGCAAUGGAUUUAAGCUUCAUAUAUAAAGAUUUUUCUUUUAUUAGAA